rnacentral:rRNA from 1 species
AUACGGAGGGCGCAAGCGUUGCGCGGAAUCACUGGGUGUAAAGGGUGCGUAGGCGGGGCUGUAAGUCAGAGGUGAAAGCCCUCGGCUCAACCGGGGAAUUGCCUCUGAUACUGCAGCUCUUGAGUCCCGGAGAGGCCGCUGGAAUUCCUGGUGUAGCGGUGAAAUGCGUAGAUAUCAGGAGGAACACCGGAGGCGAAGGCGGGCGGCUGGACGGGGACUGACGCUGAGGCACGAAAGCGUGGGGAGCAAACAGGAUUAGAAACCCUAGUAGUCC